UACAGAGGUCUCAAGCGUUGUUCGGAUUCAUUGGGCGUAAAGGGUGCGUAGGCGGCGCGGUAAGUCGGGUGUGAAAUCUUGGAGCUUAACUCCGAAACUGCAUUCGAUACUGCCGUGCUUGAGGACUGGAGAGGAGACUGGAAUUCUCGGUGUAGCGGUGAAAUGCGUAGAUAUCGAGAGGAACACCUGCGGCGAAGGCGGGUUGCUGGGCCGACACUGACGCUGAUGCGCGAAAGCCAGGGAGCGAACGGG
rnacentral:rRNA from 1 species